UACGGAGGGGGCUAGCGUUGUUCGGAAUUACUGGGCGUAAAGCGCGCGUAGGCGGCUUUGUAAGUCAGAGGUAAAAGCCUGGAGCUCAACUCCAGAACUGCCUUUGAGACUGCAUCGCUAGAAUCAUGGAGAGGUUAGUGGAAUUCCGAGUGUAGAGGUGAAAUUCGUAGAUAUUGGGUGGAACACCGGUGGCGAAAGCGGCUCUCUGGUCCGAACCUGACGCUGAGGCGCGAAAGCGUGGGGAGCAAACAGG
rnacentral:rRNA from 1 species